rnacentral:lncRNA from 1 species
GGUGUCGUGCCAGAGGCCAGGAGCGGCAGAUUUGCUUUGGGCCUGGCCAGUGGUUGGAACGGCUUCAGCAGGAAUCGCUGAAUCCCGAACUGAUGGACGCACAGCUGGCUGUGUCAGCCUCCCUGUUAACACCUCCUUCCGCUUUCCAAAAUAACGCUAAUAGCAGUAGUAAUAAUAAAAAAACGUUACAUGGAGAAGCAAAAAAAGGACUAGUGGGCUUUUACAUUAACUUUAUUCACACGCCGUGUUUUGUUCUGCGGGGGCUCGAUCCCUCGUGAGAGCAUUUCCCUGCCAGCGUUGCUUUCUGCGGUGGGAGAGUUUUCGGCAACCAUCUUCUGUGGGUGCUGGCGGCGCACGCCGGCCCUGCUGGGGCUGGAGGUGCGUUUGCGCUGCGGAGAUCGAUUCUGGAGGGACAGGCUCGGGAGAGGCUGAGCAUUGCACAGCUCCUGCAUCCCCUCAUCAGAGCGCGGCCGAGCUUUGGCCUUUGUGUGGCUUUGGGGGCCGUGUACCAGUGGGUGCAUCCGGCUGCCAGGAGAAGCGGGCUGUGAACAAAGCCAGGUCACGACAGGUGCCUCUGGCCCGGCGCGUGCCAGACCCCUGUGCCGCUCGCAGGCUCCUGCAGCUGAUGGCUCCGGGGGCUUCGGCCUGGGAAGGGCCCCCGGGGCCACAGCGGGUGCCUGCUCCCGAAGGAGGCGUUGGAUGUGGCCACAUGUCCAGGUGGAAACAGUCUGGCACAGAGCACAGUGCUGGAAGAAGUCAGAACUGAGCCUGGGCUUUCAGUUGGUAAAAGUUCUGCAAAAGAGGAAGAGAGACGUAAGGUGCUCAGGAUUUGGCAAGACUGGUGUCCUGCUCAUCAGACCCCAUGUCUUCCAGUGAAACAACUCCAUUGUGGUCAGGGUGUGUGCUAAAAAACAGCUUGGUCUCAUUUGGAGAGUUGCAAAAUAUGACUUGCUAUGUGAAAAAGAAAAACUGAUUUGUAAUUGCUUCAUUAAAAUGUUGAACUUGACAAAUAAAUAUCAGUAUUUUCAGGCUGGUUUUUUUUCA